CCCAAGGAUUUGGUCAAUCACAUCAAAAGUGAUUCAAGCGUGUUACCCCGCAUUGGUGCAUUAAGAGAGAUGAACAUGGAGUAUUUCCCCAUAGAUAAUCAGGGAUUUCUAACUGAUCAUGAGCAAGCAUUGGAAACGCUCUAUGC